GUGUCACAUUUCCCUCAGCCCGGAAUGGCUGUGAGUUUGUGCUCUUCUCAGUGGGGGAUUGGAGAAGGUUUUGGCUGUAAUUAGCAGUCGGAGAAAAAUCCUGCUAAAUAAAAGUGUCUCACCUCUGUCCCCCCUAAGUUAUCCCAGUUUGUCCCAGCUUGGAGCUGCGCAGAAGUCAGGCAGGGGAAAUGACCUCAGGGAUACAGCUGUCAGUUCCAAGGCAGCGAGAGAAGAUGUAGCAGCCAAGGGCAGGGGAGGGGAAAGGUUUCAGAAAGCAUUUCUGUGGUGUAAUGAAUGCCAAUUUCUGCUUGCCCAGGGAGAAGAGGACGAACUCCCAGCCAUUCAGGCCUGACAGUCCCCUGCAGCGAGGGCAUACACUGGAAGAGUUCAGGGUCGAAGACAAGGCUGAGGGAAAAUCCAGGGUAUUUAUAAGGGAUGAUGGGAGGUGGGUCCAGGGUGAGAAUCCAGUGGGUAAAGGGAAAAGUGGUGUAAGGGAGGAGUAAUACAGGGCAGGGGCCGAUAAGGUAGGAUGGGUGGAGCAGUGCAGUGAACAUAAACCAGUGGGGGGGGCGGGGGGGUACAGGGAUACAAGAACUUUCCAGAGCUGGGAGGAGACAAGGGAUGACAUAACUGGGAAUAGAGGCAACCAAUGGGAAAUGAGGGUUAUAAAGCUUUACCUUAAAGCUUUGCCAUAAAGAAUUUUUAAAACCUUUGACAACCUUCUUAGGAGCUAUUCUAAACUUAAACAAAUGCCCUCCAAGGUCUGGGGCCAUGGGCCAACUCCUCACCCAAAACACUGGUCUGGCUUGGCAUGUCAGUCAGUCCGAUUCCUACACUGGGCCUCUGCAUGAUAUUCGCCCAGAAGCUGCCUUUCAAGGACUGAAGUGGAACAAAAAGUAUAAAAGAAAUGUCAUUCCCAGAGGGAAAACAGUUUCAUUUCUCUUGUGUCUACUUUUUUUUUUUUUUUUUAACAGUUACCUCAAAAUUCCCGGAUCCAGAACAGCUACUCUGAGUUUUGGUAGAGAUUCCAAAGCGGGAUACAGUAGAUUUCAAAGUACACCUUGGAAAAUCAAUCGUUUGUCUGCAGCAUGCAGCAUGUAGGUGUGAUGUCUGUAACUGGUCUUAGUUGAUGCAGAGGUACUUGGAAAAAAACGUUUAAUCUUUCAUCUCUCCCCACCUGCAUUCUUCCUAAGUGUACUUUUUAUUCAGCAGGACUCGGAUGAGAGAGAGAGAGAGAGAGAGAGGGAGGAACUCUCUUCACAUCAGCGUCAAAGGAAAAAGUGUUCAGCGACUUACAGUCCUAGUGACUGUUCUGUGUAAAAGCAGGAUUGUUUUUCCAUCAGACCUUGCGUGCCGUACCAGUCUGUGCGUUAACAGGUGCCUAAGAAAGGUCAAAAGGGAAUAACUCCAUGUCGUUCACUCGUGUGAAUCUUGGUGGGGAGCAGAGGCGAGAGUGAACUGCAGUGAGGGGGAGGUUACUGAAGCCCCAGUUUGUUUCCAGCGAGCGUGGUGUUGUGGUGUUCAAAGUUACAGGUGCCUGCUGGCCUGGAGCUGGAUACUUCUGCCUCUGCUUUCUUUGGGGGUUGAUGAUUCCUUAUGUUUAUGUUGGUGUGCCAGCAUCUUAGAUACUGACGACUCUUUCUCCUCUCAGUGUCUUCUCCCAUGUGCUUAUUUAGCUGCUUAGCUAAAGGAUUUGUCUAAUGGUAGUUAAGGAAUUCAGGUGCAGACUCCAACAGGACAGUCGUAGCUGCAGAUGAAUCUCUUUAAUGCUAUCAUCGAACCCCAGCAUGGUUAUUGCUCCCAGUUUUCCUUGUGGAAAUGUGAAACAGGAAUUCAUGGGUUCUUCCUGCAUGACUGAAGGUGUGUCCCACAGGAUGCUUUUGUGCAAGCAUAGGAGGAUGUACAGCAAACAUUUUUACUGCAGUGUUUUCCCCGUUGCCUGGUUCCAGGAGAGCAGAGCUCACUGUUCGUGCAGCAGACAGGUUUAUCCAAGUGCUGGCUCAGUGGCUCCAUGGUGAAAUCAUGUACUGCCUCUGGGCUUCAGAGUGUCAUGUGCAGAGAUUCGCUUUUAACACGACUUGAGUUAAAAUUCCUCUAAGAACUAAUCAGUCCAAGAUCCAUUCCACUACCGCUUUUUCAUGUUCUUGUUUCACUUUUUCCUGUUUGUGUUUCACAUCAGUUCUUUUCAUCUCUGAUUCCUUCACGGCACUUAGACCCCAUCUUAAUUUCAGGGAAGAUAUUUGGAUGCAAAUGAAGUUUUAAUUGGGAUGCUUUUCUAACUACUCUCCCUCCAGGAGAGCUGCCUCAGCCUGGAUGAGUGUGAGGGUACCCAGCUCUCCUUUAGGGCUGGGAGCACGGCAGGGUGCAGAGCUCAUGGUGAAUCUUGUUUCAACACUGCCAAUACCAAAAGAUGUUAGAACACAGUCCUUGAAGGAAUAACGUACAAAAGUCUACUGCAAGCCUAGGGACAAGCUGUCCUUCUUAAAGAUGUGCACUGAUGGAUGUUUUGUCAAACCCCUCUGGGGACGGAAUGUGUGCCAAAAGCUUGGUUAACCCCUUGUCUUCUGCUGCUAGGGCAGCGUCUUAGCCCAGGUCUCGGGGGCUGUGCGGAGGUUGCUCCCUGGAGCAGGGUCCCCCCGUGAGGAGGAGCCAGAGAUUGGGUCACUGGAGCAGUCUCUGGGGUUUGCCACCCUCGGUGCCACGGGACCGAGCUGUGCGAAGGCUCGAUCCCGUCGGUCCAAAGUCCUGGGCAGCGUUUCCAGCAGCAGGGGCUGGAGGCAUCGGGGGCUGCCUUUGGAGCCUUGUUCUCCCCUUGGCUUUUACAGAGGGUGCCAGACUCUGCCCUUAAGGAUCCAGUGUUGCUUUUGGACGUUGAUCCUGCAGCUGGACAGGCGGUGCAGUGAGGAGCAAGUUGCUGGCUUACGUGAUUUCUGAGUGACCUGUCACAGAAACGGGCAUCUGUGUGUGCAGGUGCUUCCUGGCAAAUCCAGAUGUGACGUGGAAAUCCUAAGGGAGGAGUUCCAGCCUUGACCACGCGUGACACAGGCUUGUGGAAAUGGAAAUGGCCUUGGCAGAAGAGCAGCUGUGAGGUGAAGCAGGACUGCAAUACAGGUGCUGCCCAGGGGGGACAUCUGUGGCCUCAGACAGCGAUGGCCUUGGAGCAAGGGGAGCCUUUGCACAGCUCACCUGCAGAGCUCAGGUGGAUGGGACAGGAUUGGUGUGGCCUGAGAAGUCCUGAACAGCUGUGUCUGUGUUCUGCAGUGCCUUGAAACCUUUCUCUGUCAGGUUUUGGAGGGGUUUCUCUUUAGGAUUUCUUGUGAUGCAGCACCCCGGGUGUCCCUUUGUGCAAAGUCCAGUGGUGAAGGAGGAUUGAGUGAGUGACAAGUGGGGUCUGGCAUGAAAAUGGUUCUGUUAAAAUGGAGCAAAGACUGCAAUAAGAAAAACGAGCAUCCCUUUACUGUCUGAAAGGGUUAGGAAUAAAAAUGCUGGAGAAGGGCACUUUUAUAUUUGAAUUGGUGUCACCUGUCUUGGAUCAAGCCCCACAGUGAGCAAUCCAGAUCAGAAGUGUGUAAGCUGGGAUCCUUUGACUUCUGCAGGGGACUUCAUUUUCUUUUCUUCUUCUUCUCUUCCAGGACCGGAGAAAUGGUUGUGGAAUUAUUAGAUGGCUUUUGUUAGAUGCAGGUUUUAUUUUUUCGGAAGUUUUUUUACUGCAGCCCUUUUAAGAUGGUUUUCAAUAAUACAGUGUAUAGUUUUAUAUUGUUUGUAGGUGGCAUAUGAUAAGAGAUGUUGUCUAGUUAAUGCUGUAUCUUUUAGUUUAGGUGUUGAUAAGGUUUUUCUUGAGUUGAGUUUUGUUUUUGUGUGGUUUUUUUUUUUUUUUUGUGGGGUCUUGUUUCUAAAGGAUGCGUUGCUAAGGUUUCUGAUGGUGUUAGGGGCUGUAGCGUAAAGCAUAGGGCUGGUUUUCAGUUAUUUUGUGAUGGCUUUUAUUAUUGUGAGUAUUCAGUGUUUGUUUUGGGGGUUUGAGGUAAUGUCAUGUAGCUGAUUUAUUUGUUUUUUACUCUUAUAAUUGGGAUAUUAUAUGGGUUAUGUUAUUUAUAUUGGCUUGUUAUUAUAUCAAAGGGGUUUUAUGUGUUUGGUUUGUUUGAUUAGUAGUGUAUGUUUUAUUAGUUUUAUUAUUAUAUCAUUGGGCUUUUGUUUAUUAGCAGUAUAUGUUUUAUACUUGCAGAUAAUACGGGAGAUAUUGUUUAUGGUUAUAUUUAUCUUUUGGUUUUGUGUUUAUCUGUAGGUGGUAUUUGUGUAUUGAUGGUUUGAGACAUAAUGGGUUGAUUGAGCUUGGAGUUAACUUCUUUUGGCGUAGUUAAUUUAGGUUUAUUUGUGCAAUUUUUAUUUUUGGGUUUGAUUGGUUUGUUUGUUGUUUUGGUGUUUUUUAUUAUUUUUAUUUUUUGGGAACAUGGAUAUUUAUAGAGUGGGUUAUUUUAGGUAGGUUUUUUUUUUACUGUAGUGGUUUUUUUUUUUUUUAAUAUUUUAGUGCUUUUAGGUUCUUGUAAUGUUGUCAAUUAGUUUGGGUUUUUAUAUUUCUUUGGUUUUUUUGGAAUGUUUAGGGUCAGUUGCCUUGUUCUGAGUUAAAUAAGAUGGUUUGAUUUAUUUUUUGUAGUAGUUCUUGUGAUUUGUUAUGAGGGUUUCUAUACAGUUUUAUUUCUGUUUCAUAUUUAGGAUGUGAUGGGAAUUGUUAGUGACAAGAGUGUAGUGUGUUUCUUUUUUUAUUGCUGGUAGUGGGUUGUAUGGUGUAGGUUUUGUAUUUUGCAGAGUAUUUUUUGCUUUUAUUUAGUGAGAUCCAAGUUUUUGGUUUUAGGUUCAUUUGUAAUUAUUUUCACCUCUUUGGGGAUUUAGAUUUUUGGUGUGAGUGCCCUGCCUGAUGACAGUAAUUGGUUGAUUUCAUGUGGUAUUGGUGGCAUGGUGGGUAGAGGGCAUUUUUGUUUUGACUAUUAAUUUUAAUAUUGGUAGAUGGGAUAGUAGGAGGAUUUGUGUUUUAGUGUUGAUUGGUUUUGAGGUGGUUUGGAUUUUUUGAUAACUUAAGGUGUUUUGUGAGCUGGUGGAUGUUUUAUGCUCUUGGUAGGAACACGGUGCUGUUUUCUCGAGUGUAUCCUUAGGAAGUGGAUUUUUUCAUUAGGUUUUUUGUUUGUUUUUCACGGUAAAAUGUGUUUUUAGGAGAACUUGGGUAACUUUAAAUAUAUUUUGGUUGAAGUUUUUUGUGUACUGUAGAUGAUGUGGAGUUUUCUUUUAGUGUAAUUUGUAUAUAAUCUGUGGUAGCCAGUAGGAUUGUGUUUUUAGUUUUGGGGUAGUUGUUUUUAGGUGUAUUGUACGUUUGUUUGGUGAAGGUAAAUUGAGGUUUGUGUUGGGCUGUUGGAGGAACAGAGAAAAAUGCUUUGGCCAUGUUAAUACGAGUGUGCAAUUCAGUUUGGAUUUUAGUUUGUAUUGGAGUUUUAAUACAUUUGGUUCUGUGUUGUGUAAUGGUGGAGUUCUUUAAGGAAUGAUAGCUGGUAGUAGUUUAUUUUCUGUAUGUUGGUGUAUAGGUUGAAUGGGGUUGUUGAAGGGCGUGUGGGUUUUGUGAGGUUCCGGGGGACUGCGUUUCCCUGUGGCUUUCCAGGUCGGCAGCAGCCGGA